rnacentral:rRNA from 1 species
UACGGAGGGUGCGAGCGUUAAUCGGAAUGACUGGGCGUAAAGGGCAUGUAGGCGGAUAAUUAAGUUAGGUGUGAAAGCCCUGGGCUCAACCUAGGAAUUGCACUUAAAACUGGUUAACUAGAGUAUUGUAGAGGAAGGUAGAAUUCCACGUGUAGCGGUGAAAUGCGUAGAGAUGUGGAGGAAUACCGGUGGCGAAGGCGGCCUUCUGGACAGAUACUGACGCUGAGAUGCGAAAGCGUGGGGAGCAAACAGG